GGGGAUUUAGCUCAGUGGUAGAGCGCUUGCCUAGCAAGCACAAGGUCCUGGGUUCAGUCCCCA
rnacentral:tRNA from 1 species